UACGGAGGGUGCAAGCGUUAAUCGGAAUUACUGGGCGUAAAGCGUGCGCAGGCGGUUCGUUGUGUCGGUGGUGAAAUCCCCGGGCUUAACCUGGGAAUGGCCAUGGAAACUGGCGAACUGGAGUGCGGCAGAGGGGGGUGGAAUUCCGCGUGUAGCAGUGAAAUGCGUAGAGAUGCGGAGGAACACCGAUGGCGAAGGCAGCCCCCUGGGCUAGCACUGACGCUCAGGCACGAAAGCGUGGGGAGCAAACAGG
rnacentral:rRNA from 1 species